rnacentral:misc_RNA from 1 species
GAUGAAGAACGUAGCGAAAUGCGAUAAGUAAUGUGAAUUGCAGAAUUCAGUGAAUCAUCGAAUCUUUGAACGCACAUUGCGCCCGCUAGUAUUCUGGCGGGCAUGCCUGUUCGAGCGUCAUUUCAACCAUCAAGCCCUGUUUAGGCUUGUGUUGGGGCCCUGCGGUUGCCGCAGCCCCCUAAAUGCAGUGGCGGGCUCGUUGUCACUCCGAGCGCAGUAGCGUAUCUCGCUCUGGGCGUGGCGGCGGGUGCUAGCCGUGAAACACCCACUACGGUUGACCUCGGAUCAGGUAGGAAUACCCGCUGAACUUAAGCAUAUCAAUAAGCGGAGGA